UACGAGGGGUGCGAGCGUUGCUCGGAAUUAUUGGGCGUAAAGGGUAGGUAGGUGGUCUCGUUUGUCUGGGGUGAAAUCCCUGAGCUUAACUCAAGAAGUGCCCUAGAAACGGCGAGACUGGAGUACUGGAGAGGGUCGUGGAAUUCCCGGUGUAGCGGUGAAAUGCGUAGAGAUCGGGAGGGACACCAGAGGCGAAGGCGGCGACCUGGACAGUUACUGACACUCAACUACGAAAGCGUGGGGAGCAAACAGG
rnacentral:rRNA from 1 species